UACGAAGGGGGGCUAGCGUUGCUCGGGAAUCACUGGGCGUAAAGGGUGCGUAGGCGGGUCUUUAAGUCAGGGGUGAAAUCCUGGAGCUCAACUCCAGAACUGCCUUUGAUACUGGAGGAUCUUGAGUUCGGGAGAGGUGAGCGGAACUGCGAGUGUAGAGGUGAAAUUCGUAGAUAGUUCGCAAGAACACCAGUGGCGAAGGCGGCUCA
rnacentral:rRNA from 1 species